CCACAAUGGGGAAACCCUGAUGGAGCGACGCCGCGUGCGGGAUGAAGGCCCUAUGGGUUGUAAACCGCUGUUCAGUGGAAAGAACAUCCUCCGGCUGAAUAGGUCGGAGGCCUGACGUUACCACUGCAGAAAGUCCCGGCCAACUCCGUGCCAGCAGCCGCGGUAAUACGGGGGGACGGAGCGUUGUCCGGAAUCAUUGGGCGGUAAAGGGACGGCGUAGGCGGCGAGGAAA
rnacentral:rRNA from 1 species